rnacentral:rRNA from 1 species
UACGUAGGGUGCAAGCGUUAAUCGGAAUUACUGGGCGUAAAGCGUGCGCAGGCGGUUUUGUAAGUCUGUCGUGAAAUCCCCGGGCUCAACCUGGGAAUUGCGAUGGAGACUGCAAGGCUAGAAUCUGGCAGAGGGGGGGUAGAAUUCCACGUGUAGCAGUGAAAUGCGUAGAGUAUGUGGAGGAAUACCGAUGGCGAAGGCAGCCCCCUGGGAUAACAUUGACGCUCAUGCACGAAAGCGUGGGGAGCAAACAGG